UUUCAUUUUUUUUUUUCAUUACGUAUUUUCUUCAAUUACAUUUCCAGUGCUAUCCCAAAAGUGCCCCACCCUCUCCCCUACCCACCCAUUCCCAUUUUUUGGCCCUGGCGUUCCCCUGUACUGGGGCAUAUAAAGUUUGCCUGAACAAUGGGCCUCUCUUUCCAGUGAUGGCCGACUAGGCCAUCUUUUGAUACAUAUGUAGCUAGAGUCAAGAACUCUGGGGUACUGGUUAGUUCAUAUUGUUGUUCCACCUAUAGGGUUGCAGAUCCCUUUAGCUCCUUGGAUACUUUCUCUAGCUCCUCCAUUGGGGGCCCUGUGAUCCAUCCAAUAGUUGACUGUGAGCAUCCACUUCUGUGUUUGCUAGGCCCCGGCCUAGUCUCAUCCUGUGUCACUCUUAAAGGAGCACUUCCUGCUGACAAUAGUUGUACUUUUUUUUUUUUUUAGCAUUCUGGUUUAUUCAGGUAAGCAGUGGACUCUUUGUGGCUGUCCAAAGUACCUGAAGUCAGACAAUUUAAGAAAAGUUGUAUAAGAAAACCUCUGGAGGAAAAGAUAUAUAAUUAGGCUCUGGACAUUUAGCAUUCCAAUGUGUUAGGAGUUUUGUCUACUGAAUUUGGCAGAGAAGCCUGGGGAGUGACUGCAGGGGUUUAGCCCGUGACUAACACAGUGGCCUAAGGGUUCAAGAACCAGAGGAAGAGGCUGGAGAAGGGGCAGGGGAAUGAGAGAAAAGGGCUACUAUCAAGUCAUUCAACUAGGAUAAAAGCUUUCUAUCUAUCAAGUCAUUCAACUAGCAUAAAAGCUUUUAAAGGAAGCCAAUUACUUCACUUCAGAACUGGUUUUGUUGUUGUUUUUGUUUUUGUUUUGUUUUUAAAAACUGGUCAAGUUUCAUCUUUCUCUUAUUUCUUUCACACUGAAAAGAAGAGACUUGAUUGAAGGAUAAAGGUGCUCUAUUUUCCUUGCAUUCACGUCUUUAAAAGAAUUCUACUUGCUCUCAAACAUUUGUUUCUGAAAGUCAGACGUUCUUGGUCCACAUGCUAACAGUAGUGAGUUUUCUGAUUACCCUAUCACUAGUUUUUGUGUGUGUUUUUUUUUUUUUACUUGGUUUCGGUGGAUAUUAAGUGAGCAUAUAAUUUAUACUGUGUACUACUGCUCCAUACUCUUAUUUCCAAUCAUCCAAAAUGGAAAAAAAAGUGAAAUAUGUUGUUUCUAACCCAAGACAUGUAGCUGGAAUAUAGUGUCCAUAAUU
rnacentral:lncRNA from 1 species